GACGAACCGUCCAAACGUUGUUCGGAAUUACUGGGCGUAAAGCGUGUGUAGGCGGUCUGCUAAGUCGGGUGUGAAAGCCCCGGGCUCAACCCGGGAAGUGCACUCGAAACUGGCAGGCUAGAGUACUGGAGAGGUUGGUGGAAUUCUCGGUGUAGAGGUGAAAUUCGUAGAUAUCGAGAGGAACACCGGUGGCGAAGGCGGCCAACUGGACAGAUACUGACGCUGAGACUCGAAAGCGUGGGGAGCAAACAGG
rnacentral:rRNA from 1 species